UUGGAAGGGCGGAAGAUCGCUCCCGGCGCAAGCCGGGGGAGGAAAGUCCGAACUCCACAGGGCGCGAUGCCGCGUAACUCCAUCGACAGGUGCGGUGGAGAUACACGCGGGAGGCGAUGCCGCGAGGCGUCCCGACGGAGAGUGCCACAGAAAAUAAACCGCCCGGUUCCAGAAUUCUUUGGCGACAAAACCGCCCAAGAAUUCUGGAACCGGGUAAGGGUGAAAAGGUGGGGUAAGAGCCCACCGCUCGAAGAGUAAUCAACGAGGCACGGAAAACCCCAUCGGGUGCAAGGCCAAAUAGGGAACCCAGGAGCGGCCCGCUCCACUCCCGUCCCAGUUUUGCGGCUGGCUUUCGAAAGUUCGCCGACUACGAAAUGGACGCCGUAAAACUGGGGCGGGAAGGUUCCGGGUAUUGGCCGCUGAGACAAAUGAUCUUCUCCUGCGACCGUGCUUGCACGUCCGCAGCAGACAAAACUCGGCUUACAGCCCUUCCAAAAUC
rnacentral:RNase_P_RNA from 1 species